AUGAGCCUCACGCUCCACGCCAUGGCAGACGAUGGUCGUGUCGCGCCUCCACCCCCCUCCCCCCGGCGCUGCCCAGGCAUCUGCUCCAGGCUCGCAGUACGGCCUCACCGAGACGAAGCCCCCGCUGCCGGCCAUGAUUGGGCCGCGCGCGGGGACGGCAAAGAUCGCAACCACAUAAGACAUGGUGGAGCCGAUGCAGUACCUGUACGUGAGAGCGUCGUCAAGGCGCACGACCUGCCCAGCAUGGACCUCACCGGCGCGCUGGACCCGUACGUGGAGGUGAAGCUCGACAACUCCAAGGGCGUCACGCGGUUUCAGGCUGGAGUAGUCGCGCUCCCAGUCGCACCUCCAUUGCCGUUGGUCGUUGUCGUCCACGCUGCCCCUGCCGCUGCAUGGGGGUCUAGAGCGGCGGGUGCGCCGGCGGGUGCAGGUGCUGGGCGCUGA
rnacentral:rRNA from 1 species